GGACAAGAGAUUACUCAUAGACAAGGCUGCAUGAGCAGACACACCAAUCACCUCCCACCACCACUAAGAGACACGUCUCCUUCACCUGAGAGGAUUUCUGUGAGCUAAUAAAAAGGAUCUGACAGGUAUGCUUUAAUUUCAAAGGAACCGGAGUCACAUAUCUGCUGUUUUUUAUUUUGCUUCACAUGGUGAAAAGGGUAAAAGAGGCUCAUCGAACAUUUGAUGCUAUUAUAGGAGAAGGGAUGAGGAACAAAUGGUGUUUUGGAACCAGAAUGCAUGCAAGGAUGAGAAAGUAACACUAAGAUGACAUCAGGG